rnacentral:rRNA from 1 species
GACGAACGCUGGCGGCGUGCCUAAUACAUGCAAGUAGAACGCACAGUUUAUACCGUAGCUUGCUACACCAUAGACUGUGAGUUGCGAACGGGUGAGUAACGCGUAGGUAACCUGCCUGGUAGCGGGGGAUAACUAUUGGAAACGAUAGCUAAUACCGCAUAAUAUUGAUUAUUGCAUGAUAAUUGAUUGAAAGAUGCUAUUGCAUCACUACCAGAUGGACCUGCGUUGUAUUAGCUAGUAGGUGAGGUAACGGCUCACCUAGGCGACGAUACAUAGCCGACCUGAGAGGGUGAUCGGCCACACUGGGACUGAGACACGGCCCAGCCUCCUACGGGAGGCAGCAGUAGGGAAUCUUCGGCAAUGGACGAAAGUCUGACCGAGCAACGCCGCGUGAGUGAAGAAGGUUUUCGGAUCGUAAAGCUCUGUUGUAAGAGAAGAGCGGGUGUGAGAGUGGAAAGUUCACACUGUGACGGUAUCUUACCAGAAAGGGACGGCUAACUACGUG